UCAACACUCCUCUUUAGUCAACACCCAAAACACUAUUCACUUCGGGCAGUUUGAAAUCUGAUAUCUUUCGUCGGAGCUCCCUGAAUAUCCGUUUGAGCUCAAAUUUGACAGUCAUGUUUGGUUUACUUAACGAGUCCAAAAAAAUUUUAAUAUUUCAGUUUCGACCCCGUUUGGUCACCGAAAACUAUACCGAACUGUAAUCUUUAUCAGAUAGCUGUCGGAUUUUAUUUUCCACCUUCCGGGUAUCAGAAUGAUAUGAAACUUUAAAUGUAGCCUCAUAAAAAUAAUUCUGACUUAUCCUCCAGUUUUCAUAAUUUUCUGACACUGUGCAUUUUCUGCUAAUUUAUCUGUCCCGUUUCAAACAAAAAAUUCUAAAUCUUCUGUUUUCAUUCUGAUUUCAGCACAUGUCACUUCUGACUUAUAUUUUACUUCUCUAAAUCCAAUAAAAAUAGUUUCCCACACUAUUUUUAUUUUUAUACCAAAAUCUAGUAUGUUACACUGCCACAAUCU
rnacentral:lncRNA from 1 species